rnacentral:rRNA from 1 species
GAUGAACGCUAGCUACAGGCUUAACACAUGCAAGUCGAGGGGUCUUUUGGAGCUUGCUUUAAAAGACGACCGGCGCACGGGUGAGUAACGCGUAUCCAACCUGCCCUUCAUAUUGGGAUAGCCUUCCGAAAGGAAGAUUAAUACCGAAUAACAUGAUAGAGUUGCCUGAUUUUAUCAUGAAAGCUCCGGCGAUGAAGGAUGGGGAUGCGUUCCAUUAGGUAGUAGGCGGGGUAACGGCCCACCUAGCCGACGAUGGAUAGGGGUUCUGAGAGGAAGGUCCCCCACACUGGAGCUGAGACACGGUCCAGUCUCCUACGGGAGGCAGCAGUGAGGAAUAUUGGUCAAUGGGCGCAAGCCUGAACCAGCCAAGUAGCGUGAAGGAUGACUGCCCUAUGGGUUGUAAACUUCUUUUAUACGGGAACAAACCCUGGUACGUGUACCAGAUUGCGUGUACCGUAUGAAUAAGCAUCGGCUAACUCCGUGCCAGCAGCCGCAGUAAGAC